GAUGAACGCUGGCGGCGUGCCUAAUACAUGCAAGUCGAGCGAAGCGGGGAAGGGUGAGUAACACGUGGAUAAACUCCGAUAAGAAUGGGAUAACUUAGGGAAACCGGAGCUAAACCGGAUAAUUAUAGCUGGCACCGCGCUGCAUUAGCUAGUGGGUAAGGUAACGGCUUACAAAGGCAACGAAGCAGAGCCGACCUGAGAGGGUGACCGGCCACACUGGAACUGAGACACGGUCCAGACUCCUACGGGAGGCAGCAGUAGGGAAUCUUCCGCAAUGGGCGAAAGCCUGACGGAGAAACGCCGCGUGAGUGAUGAAGGUCUUCGGAUCGUAAAACUCUGUUAUUAGGGAAGCGGUACCUAAUCAGAAAGCCACGGCUAACUACGUGCCAGCAGCCGCGGUAAUAC
rnacentral:rRNA from 1 species